rnacentral:lncRNA from 1 species
CUCCCUUUAUAUGAAAAAAAAAAAUACAUUUAAAGUUAUAAAUUAGUGAAACCAUUUACACUUUGUUGUACUCACCAUAUAUUUACAUAUACCCCUGAACUUGAUCCCCAGGCAAGGGCAUAACCAUGUAUAAGAAUGAGGAUUUCUUAACCAUAAAUUUACCUAUGAAGUUCUAGACUAUUUUCAAAGAAGUACUUAACAGUCCUCCCUAGGAAAUUGGCAAUCUCGCGGAAUAAGUAUGAUAUUCUUAGAUCCAUCAUAAAAAUAGCAUGCAAAUGUUUAUACACCACAGGAUUGCAAAAGCAGCAAUAAUUUUCUAAAGAAAGUAUGAAAAAGCUGCUCUUACUUGUUAUUGUUGGAACAUGUGAGCUUGUCUUGGAAACAAGCACAUGGUUUCCAGCAGUUUUCCAUAGCUUGUAAGUCCCCAUAUAGUAUUUAAUUUCUUGUUUGACUUUGUACAAGUUCCUAUGUUAGUGGCAUUGAGAACUACUAGCUUGUAAGUUCCCAUGUAGUAUUUAAUUUCUUAUUUGACUUUGUACAAGUUCCUAUGUUAGUGGCAUUGGGAACUACAACUUUUGUAAUCUCCUUCUCUAUUUAAAUCAAAUGUUAAAGGCUGAAAAUAUAAGAAAAAAAAAAAACAUAUUUUCCAGCCAUUUCCUCUCAAUUUCUCUUCAUCAUUUCCAUAUUUCUUAAGAACUUGAGCUCAGAUUUAGCUCAGUUUAUAAGAACUUUAGCUCAAACCCAGCUAAGUUCUAUUUUAUUUCCGCAUUUACAGUGGUAUCAGAGCUCCUGUCCUACGUGCUGUGAGGCUAAAAACAAAAAAUCUAGAGAGUCAAACACGUGAGGAAGAGAAAUACCGAGUGUUUGAAAGAUUUGUGAGAUUUUUUGAAAAAAGAAAAAGAAGAACAAGAACAAGAACAAAACCAGAAAAAUGGCUUCAAGUAGCUCAUCAGCUCCUACCUUCAACGGAUCACUUUAUCAUUUGUGGUCGGUGAAGAUGAAAACUUACCUCAAAUCUCAAGGUCUAUGGAAAGUGGUUGAGACAGAUGAAGAUCCUCCCGCUCUCAGGCCAAAUCCAACAGUAGCUCAGCUCAGAGACCAUGAAGAACAGCUCCUCAGGAAAGAUAAAGCCUUGACUUGCAUCCACUCAAGCUUGGCAGAUCAUGUUUUCACCAGCAUCAUGGACCUGGAAACACCCAAAGCUGUUUGGGAUUACCUCAAAGAGAGCUUUGAAGGCACAGACCGAGUGAAAGCUGUGAAGCUCUUGACGCUCAAGAGAGAAUUUGAGCUGCUCAAGAUGAAGGAUGACGAGCUAGUGAAAGAUUAUUCAUCAAGAAUGAUGGAUCUUGUAAACCAAAUUAGGUUGUAUGGUGAAGCUCUACCUGAUCAGAGAGUGGUGGAGAAGAUUAUGGUCAGCGUACCAAGAAAAUUUGAAGCUAAAAUUUCAGCUAUUGAAGAGUCAUGUGAUUUGCAGAGGCUAACAGUAGUUGAGCUCAUUAGCAAAUUAGUAGCUCAAGAACAAAGAAGCUCAAUGAGAGAUGAAGAGACAGCUGAAGGUGCUUUCUUUGUUUCUCAUAAAGGAAAGAAGCCAAACAGCAAAAAUAGAAGAGGUACUAGCUACAAAAAUCGAGCUCCAGAAAAUUCGAGCUCAAAACAGGGCAAGCUUCCUCCUUGCUCCAUUUGCAAGAAAACAAACCAUGCUGAAAAAGAUUGUUGGUACAAAGAUGGUGAAAAACCAAAGUACAAAAUGCAGCUUUUGCAACAAGAUUGGCCACACCGAAAAGUUUUGCAGAGCUAAGAAAGCUCAACAAGCUCAGACGCAAGCUCAAGAGCAGGUCCUUGCAGCUGAGGAGGAGAAAUCACAUCCAAGAGAGCAUUUAUUCAUGGCUUCUCAAGCUAACAAAACAACUCAGAAUUACACUUGGCUCAUAGACAGUGGAUAUACUAGCCACAUGACACCAGAUGCUACAAGUUUUACUAGACUUGACGAGUCAAUAACAACCAGAGUGAAGCUGGGAGAUGGCUCAACGGUUUAAGCUAGAGGAAGAGGCUAAAUUUCUAUCAACACUAAGAAAGGUAUCAAAGUUAUCUCAGAUGUUCUUUACAUACCUGAGCUCAAUCAAAAUUUGCUUAGUGUGCCUCAAAUGAUUAGAAAAGGUUAUGGUGUCUAUUUCAAAAAUGCAUGCUGCUAUAUUUUAGAUACCUGUGGUGUUGAGAUAGCUAAAGUCAAGAUGAUUGGUAAUAGCUUUUAUUUGAAGCUAGAUGUUAUUCAGACAUGUGCAUUUAGUGUAAAAGAGGAUGAUAGCUUGAAAUGGCAUAAGAGGCUAGGCCACUACAAUUUUAGAACUUUAAAAGAGAUGCAUGAUUUAGAGCUAGUUUUGAGUCUGCCUGAAAUUGCAGCUCCAGAAGUAGAGUGUGAGGGCUGUAAGCUUGGAAAGUCACAAAGAACUCCUUUUCCAAAAGGCGGAGUCACUAGAGCUAUUGAAAAGCUAGAAAUUGUGCAUUCAGAUAUUUGUGGUCAUAUGGCAACACCUUCUUUGAGUGAAAACAGGUACUUUGUGCUCUUUAUUGAUGAUUUUUCAAGGAUGACUUGGGUGCACUUCCUCAAAACCAAGUCCUCAGUUUUUUCAAUUUUCAAAAAUUUCAAGAAGCUAGUGGAAACUCAAAGUAGCUGCAAGCUUAAGAUGUUGAGAACUGACAAUGGUGGAGAGUACACUUCAUAAGAAUUCAGCUCCUUUUGCCAAGAAGAAGGCAUCCUACACCAGCUCACGGUUCCAUAUUCUCCACAACAAAAUGGAGUCUCAGAAAGAAAGAAUAGAACUGUGAUGAACAUGGCUAGAGGCAUGCUGUUUGAGAAGAAGCUACCAAAGACUUUUUGGGCUGAAGCUGUAGCUACUUCAGUAUAUUUGUUGAAUAGAAUUGCAAAGAAGGCAGUGGAAGGCAAGGCCCCAUAUGAAGCUUGGAAUGGUGUCAAGCCUUCAGUUGAGCAUCUCAGAAUUUUUGGCUCAAUAUGCUAUUUUCACAUUCCUUCAGUCAAAAGAACGAAGCUAGAUCAGAGAGCUAUGAAGGGUAUAUUUGUAGGCUAUUCAACAGAGUCCAAAGGCUACAGAAUUUUUGAGCUCAACAAUAAAAGAAUUGAGCUCAGCAGAGAUGUGAGCUUUGAUGAGAGCUCUUUUUGGAAUUGGGAUUCACAUGAAGUCGAGAAGCAUGAGCUCCUUUCCUUAUUAGCUCCUACUUUUGAAGUGGAAGAAGAAGAGAACGUCAAUGACGAGCUAUUUGAUGUGCACAACACUAGUGACACUCAAGUGCUCAGAACAAGACCGUUAGCUGAGGUGUAUGAAAGAUGCAAUUUUGUCUUCGCUGAGCCAGCUAACUUUGAUGAAGCUUCCAAGCAUCCAGAAUGGAUUGAAGCUAUGAAAGCUGAAAUUCAAAUGAUAGAAAAGAACAACACUUGGCUGCUCACUGAGCUACCACAAAACAAGCAAGCUAUAGGAGUCAAAUGGGUGUUCAGAACCAAGUACAAUCCUGAUGGCUCAAUCAACAAGCUCAAGGCCAGAUUAGUUGCGAAGGGCUAUGCUCAAGUUGCGGGUAGUGACUAUGGGGAUACCUUUGCUCCAGUAGCUAGACAUGACACUAUCAAGUUGCUGUUGUCUUUUGCAGCUCAAAUGGGCUGGAAAGUUUUCCAUCUCGAUGUGAAAUCAGCAUUCUUGAAUGGUGAGCUCAAGGAGGAGCUCUACAUAGAGCAACCAGAAGGUUUCCAAGUGAGAGGAAGAGAAGAUGAGGUGUACAAGCUAAGAAAGGCUUUGUACGGGCUGAAGCAAGCUCCAAGAGCUUGGUACUAGAAAAUUGAUGCUCACUUGAUGCAACAAGGGUUCAAGAGAAGUGAUAAUGAAGCUACUCUUUAUUUGAAGCAAGAAGAUGGAGAGCUCAAGAUAGUGGUUUCAUUAUAUGUUGAUGACCUCCUUGUUACUGGUAGCCAAGAAGAAGCUGUUUCAGAACUCAAGAAGCAAAUGGAAAGUGUUUUUGAGAUGUCCGAUUUGGGCUUAAUGAACUAUUUUCUUGGGAUGGAAAUUCAUCAAUGCUCCUCAGGAAUUUUCAUAUCUCAAAGAAAGUAUGCUUUUGAUGUUUUGAAGAAGUUUAAGCUAGAAGCUUGUAAAGAAGUUGCAGCUCCAAUAGCUCAGAAUGAAAAGCUUUCGAAGAAUGAUAGAGAAAAGCUAGAAAACCCAAUUGUGUACAGAAGCAUUGUUGGCAGCUUGCUGUAUCUUUCAGCUACAAGACCUGACCUAAUGUAUCCAGCUAGCCUUCUUUCAAGAUUCAUGAGCUAUCCUACGAGUGUGCAUUUAGGAGUAGCUAAAAGAGUUCUGAAGUUCUUAAAGGGUACCGUGAAGGAUGGUAUUUGGUAUCACAGGCUUGACCAAAUUGAGCUACAAGGUUAUGAUAGUGAUUGGGCUGGAAGUAUGGAUGACAUGAAGAGCACCUCAGGCUAUGUGUUCUCGCUAGGCUCAGGUGCAAUUUGCUGGAACUCAAAGAAACAAGAAGUUGUAGCUCAAUCAACAGCUGAAGCUGAGUAUGUGUCGAUUGCAGCUGCAUCAAAUCAAGCUAUAUGGCUUAGGAAGCUCUUGUCAGAUUUGUGUGUUGAGCUAGACAAACCAACUACAAUCUAUUGUGACAACAAGUCAGCAAUUGCUAUAGCUGAAAAUCCAGUUCAACAUGGACGAACCAAGCACAUCAAUGUGAAGUUUCACUCCAUUAGAGAAGCUGAGAAGAAUUUGGAGAUCAAGCUCCAGCAUUGCUCUUCAGAAGAGCAGCUUGCUGAUCUCUUUACCAAACCAUUAUCAAGACCAAGAAUUGAUUUUUUGAAGAAUCAGCUAGGAGCUUCCAAGACCAACCUCAAGGAGGAGUGUUGGAACAUGUGAGCUUGUCUUGGAAACAAGCACAUGGUUUCCAGCAGUUUUCCAUAGCUUGUAAGUCCCCGUGUAGUAUUUAAUUUCUUGUUUGACUUUGUACAAGUUUCUAUGUUAGUGGCAUUGGGAACUACUAGCUUGUAAGUUCCCACGUAGUAUUUAAUUUCUUAUUUGACUUUGUACAAGUUCCUAUGUUAGUGGCAUUGGGAACUACAACUUUUG